rnacentral:lncRNA from 1 species
CACAAGACCCACCUUACAACCAGGCAGGGUGUCAUGCCUCUCCAAGAUGGUGUGCCCCCAGAAAAAGGCACCCUGCUUCUCUACACCAGGUCCUCCCUACAGUGUGAGUCACCUUCCCUCAUCUGACCUGUCCUCUCUGUCCCCGUGCAGAUGGGGGCACAGCAGGCACCUCCAGGCCUGGGCCCCAUUCUGGAGGACCAAGCGAGGCCCCCGCAGAAUCUAGUGAGGACUGAAGUGGGGACUGGUGGGGUUGGGGAUGGAGGUGGGUGGACUUGGGGCAGCCACUGUACUGUCCUUCCUCAUGCUCUCUGUUCCUCAGUUACAGCUCCGUGCACCACAGCCUCAGCCUCAGGGUGCUGUGGGAGCUUCUGCGGCUACAGGGCAGCCCCAGCCCCAAGGUACUACCCAGGCCCCAACAGGGGCACCCCAAGGUCCUCCUGGAGCAGCCCCUGGCCCACCUCCUUCUGGACCCAUCCUUCGACCCCAGAACCCUGGAGCCAACCCCCAGCUGCGGAGCCUUCUCCUUAAUCCAGCACCGCCCCAGACUGGGGUACCCCCACCCCAGGCCUCCCUACACCACCUCCAGCCUCCAGGGGCCCCUGCAUUGCUGCCGCCACAUCAGAGCCUGGGGCAGCCGCAGCUAGGGCCGCAACUCCUGCACCCUCCACCUACCCAGUCUUGGCCCACACAGCUACCCCAGAGGGCGCCACUGCCAGGUCAGAUGCUGCUGAGCGGGGGUCCCCGGGGCCCGGUUCCCCAGCCGGGCCUGCAGCCCAGCGUCAUGGAGGACGACAUCCUCAUGGACCUCAUCUGAACCCAACACCCAAUAAAGUUCCUUUUAACAAUG